UGAAGCUUGGAUCCCCCUUUCUUUGAAAGGGGGGUAACCAGCCUUGUAAGACUGGGAGGACUCCGGCCCCCCGGAGCUGAUACCGGAUAUUCCUUGAACCGGAGGGUGGAGGGGUGAAAGAGAGCUCGGCUGUCGCUUACGGAGGGACCCGAUUCGCAUUAUCUUGGGGGUGAGGCAACGGCUCACCAAGGCGACGAUGCGGUUCCGACCUGAGAGGGUGAUCCGCCACACUGGGACUGAGACCGGUCCUACGUCUACGGGAGGGGCAAAUUUUGAAUCUUCCGCAAAGGACUGAGCCUGACGGAGCAACGCCGCGUGAGUGAUGAAGGUUUUCGGAUCGUAAAGCUGUGUUGUUAGGGAAGAACAAGUGCAAGAGGACUGCUGCACCUUGACGGUACCUAACCAGAAAGCCACGUCUAACUACGUGCCAGCAGCCGCGGUUAUACGUAGGUGGCAAGCGUUGUCCGGAAUUAUUGGGCGUAAUGUACUCGGUUGCGGUUUCUUAAUUUAAUGUGCAAGCCCCCGGCUCAACCGUGGAGGUUCAUUUGAAACUGGGAAACUGAGUGCGAAGAGGAGAGUGGAAUUCUACCUGUACGGUGAAAUGCGUAUAGAUGUGGAGGGAACACCAAUGGGCAACGCGACUCUUUGGCCUGUAACUGACGCUGAGAGCGUAAAGCGUGGGGAGCGAACAGGAUUAGAUACCCUGCUAGUCCCACGCCGUAAACGAUGAGUGCUGAGUGCUAUGGGGUUUCCGCCCCUUAUGAUACAGUUAACUCAAUCAGCCUCUG
rnacentral:rRNA from 1 species